rnacentral:tRNA from 1 species
AAUCGUAUAGUUUAAAAAAAAUGUUAAAUUGCAAGUUUAAAGAUGGUUUGUUCCUAAGAUUU